CACAGUACUUAUUUGACCUGACAUUACAUUUGCAGUCAAUCCAAAGCUUUGUAAGUAAACUGUUUACACUUUUAUUAGUCUGUGUGUUGAGGCUGUUGAAGUGUUGGAUAUUUUAUUUUAAAUGCAGACCAGUAUAUGAAACACUGAGGGAUCCAUGCUUGGUUUUCCAUGCAGUGGGAGACUAAAGAUGAGUCAAAGCCUGUGUUUCACUCGUCUCAAUACCUUAAUUAUUUGUGGAAACAGCUGCUAAAGACCCUCUGCGGGUUUAAGACUCCAUGCUGGCAUUAAACACAUCCCAGAAUUCCUCUUGCUCUUAACUGAACUUCAUUCAUCUAGUGCUGGCAAAAAAACACAGCAGCUGCCAAUCGAAACUCCUCUCUUCCUAAAACCAAAAACUUCAAAACAAAACCAAAUAAUGAAAUACUGCAUAAUUGUUAAAUAAAAAAAAAACAACUUUUGCUUCAAGCACAAAUAAUUGCCCAUUUCAGGUGUGAGUUUCUGAGAAACUGAAUGUACAGUGAUUGUAUUAUUACCCCGAUUAAUCAUUAAAUUCCUGCUCUGCAUUCUUGGGCAUGUUUUGAUCUGCCCUCUUACCUCGUGCCAUAUAUGAAGAGCCGUGCAGGUCUAGAUCAAACAUUCUCCAGGACUAUUACAGAAGACGCCACUGACGUUUCUAGCAUAUCUCAGCACAUUAUCACAUCACAGAGUUCAGAGUAUAAGAAGCGAUUUGAAGUGGCCCAAAGCAAGACGUAUAACAGGUGGAUCCAUCCUUACAGUAAUGCAGAACAACAGUUUGCUAUUUGACACUCAGGCACACACGCACAUUUUUACUUACUUGGCUAUUCCUGUCUCUAUCCUUCCAGAAGAAUGGUAAUACAGACAUUCAUGUGGCAUCAUGUCUCAAUCUUCCUCCAGGACAUCCCACCGCUGCACAGUUUAGAUCUCUCACUAAAGUUGCGGUCACACUUCUGAUCCUGCAACAAAUUUUCGCAACAGGAUUUGAUGUCACAUACUAUUUCUAGAUAGAAUAAAAAUUAGAAAUAAUAAACUCAAAAUAUUUGAAAAUACUGUUUUGCAACACUACCAAAAAUGACGCUUUUAAGUUUGUAUUCUUUGUAGACUGAACCUGUGAUGUAUACAUAGAUCAUUCUCUAUUGGUCUAAAAGCUAAAAGCAAAAGCUAAUACUUUUGGCUCCAUUCUGCUACAUUUGUGUGUAUAAAUGAAAAAAAAAAUGGAAAAACUGAUCCAAGAUCAGCUCAUAAUUGAAGCUGUAUUCAUAACAGUUUGUUAAGCAUACCGCUCUAUCUUUACUCUAUCAAUGUCUAAAUCUGUGUGAUUCAAGACCACUUGUGUAGAAGUUGCUCACAGUUGAUGAUGAUGUGUAGUGGUUAAAAGCUCAGGGUUAGUGAUAUUUAUAGAAAAUGCCCUUGUCCUGAGAACACAAUUCAGAUCAAUUUCACCUUAAGUACAUAAAUAAACAAAUUUGUUGAAUUACUUUAAAAUAAGAAAAAUGUUUCCAAUGUUUGUACAAUGAGAUAGGAAGUUUGUUUAAACAAAUAAUGUUAUGUUGAACAAACUCAAUAAAUUGUAUUUACAUUUUAUUUAUUUAAUACAUUUUAAAGAUAUAUAUGCAUUAGAUCAGCAAGUGAGAAGGGG
ensembl:lncRNA